rnacentral:rRNA from 1 species
AUUGAACGCUGGCGGCAGGCCUAACACAUGCAAGUCGAGCGGAGCGGCGGACGGGUGAGUAAUGCCUAGGAAUCUGCCUGGUAGUGGGGGCUAACGUCCGGAAACGGGCGCUAAUCCCGCAUACUUUCAGAUGAGCCUAGGUCGGAUUAGCUAGUUGGUAGGGUAAAGGCCUACCAAGGCGACGAUCCAUAACUGGUCUGAGAGGAUGAUCAGUCACACUGGAACUGAGACACGGUCCAGACUCCUACGGGAGGCAGCAGUAGGGAAUAUUGGGCAAUGGGCGAAAGCCUGAUCCAGCCACGCCGCGUGAGUGAUGAAGGUCUUCGGAUUGUAAAGCACUUUAAGUUGGGAAGCGUUACCAACAGAAAAAGCACCGGCUAACUACGUGCCAGCAGCCGCGGUAAUAC